AUACCCUGCUUCCAGGAAAAGCCUCUAAGCUCUAGAUUAUCAUUAAUCGUACCCCAAACCGACACAGGUGGUCAGGUAGAGAAUACUCAGGCGCUUGAGAGAACUCGGGUGAAGGAACUAGGCAAAAUGGUGCCGUAACUUCGGGAGAAGGCACGCUGGCAUUAGGUGAAGUCCCUUGCGGAUGGAGCUCAAGCCAGUCGCAGAUACCAGCUGGCUGCAACUGUUUAUUAAAAACACAGCACUGUGCAAACACGAAAGUGGACGUAUACGGUGUGACGCCUGCCCGGUGCUGGAAGGUUAAUUGAUGGGGUUAUCCGUAAGGAGAAGCUCUUGAUCGAAGCCCCAGUAAACGGCGGCCGUAACUAUAACGGUCCUAAGGUAGCGAAAUUCCUUGUCGGGUAAGUUCCGACCUGCACGAAUGGCGUAAUGAUGGCCAGGCUGUCUCCACCCGAGACUCAGUGAAAUUGAACUCGCUGUGAAGAUGCAGUGUACCCGCGGCAAGACGGAAAGACCCCGUGAACCUUUACUAUAGCUUGACACUGAACAUUGAGCCUUGAUGUGUAGGAUAGGUGGGAGGCUUUGAAGCGUGGACGCCAGUCUGCGUGGAGCCAACCUUGAAAUACCACCCUUUAAUGUUUGAUGUUCUAACGUUGCCCCAUUAUCUGGGGUGCGGACAGUGUCUGGUGGGUAGUUUGACUGGGGCGGUCUCCUCCCAAAGAGUAACGGAGGAGCACGAAGGUUGGCUAAGCAUGGUCGGACAUCAUGCGGUUAGUGCAAAGGCAUAAGCCAGCUUGACUGCGAGAGUGACGGCUCGAGCAGGUACGAAAGUAGGUCUUAGUGAUCCGGUGGUUCUGAAUGGAAGGGCCAUCGCUCAACGGAUAAAAGGUACUCCGGGGAUAACAGGCUGAUACCGCCCAAGAGUUCAUAUCGACGGCGGUGUUUGGCACCUCGAUGUCGGCUCAUCACAUCCUGGGGCUGAAGUAGGUCCCAAGGGUACGGCUGUUCGCCGUUUAAAGUGGUACGCGAGCUGGGUUUAGAACGUCGUGAGACAGUUCGGUCCCUAUCUGCCGUGGGCGUUGGAAGAUUGAAAGGGGCUGCUCCUAGUACGAGAGGACCGGAGUGGACGCACCACUGGUGUUCGGGUUGUCAUGCCAAUGGCAUUGCCCGGUAGCUAAGUGCGGAAAAGAUAACCGCUGAAAGCAUCUAAGCGGGAAACUUGCCUUGAGAUGAGUCUUCCCUGACUCUUUAAG
rnacentral:rRNA from 1 species